rnacentral:lncRNA from 1 species
GUCAACAAGCCUGCUGCCUUGUCUCAUAGAUUGCUUAAGAAAUGCAACCUCUCAGCUGAGGCAUGUUGCUGUAUUCAGGUCAUGUUGGACACAGCCGUUGUUCUUCUGGAUUGUCACCCUGAUGGACUCCAGAGAGGGCAUGGAAGCUUCUGCCUGUGAAUUCAAAACCAAAGACAGUCAAGAUCUUGGUGAGAGACAGAAGUCUUUAAAAGUAGACCAAGAGAUCUGAUCUGAAUCUCCUGAGUAACUUGCACCCUUUUGAGAGAGAGGCACGUUA